rnacentral:lncRNA from 1 species
UAGUUCCAGGACAGUUAACCAGUUUAUUAAGUCCAGCUAAAUUCUCCCCUCCCGAGCUAUUUCCAACAGGUUUAAUUUAUGAUUCAUGACCAGAAGCUGUGGCAUUGAAAGAACAUAUAUUAAGAGUUCCGCAGACUUAAAAAUAAGCCAUCCUUGGGCUGUAUGAUCUCUGUCAUGUCUGUUCCUCAAUAAUUCUCAUCCUGACACAUUUCCUCUGUUUGCAUAUGGCCAGAGAUGACCUGCCAGACUUGACUUGUAGGAAAUUUCAGCUCAUUACAGC